ACAUACUUGUCGCUUCAGUUUAUUUGGAGCAUUUACCUUGAGCCCGAGAUUUCGAGCUCGACCACCCCCUAAUAUGGCUUGUAAAACAAUCUUUAUGCGCUGUGUGGGCCUUAUGGACUAGGCCUAUAUACCUUCACCAAAAGGCCCAUUUACAUAUUCAUUGUUUUGGGCUCUUCUUGUAUUUUUGCCUUCAACCCCAAACAAAGCACCGAAUCGAUAGAAGAAAAAUGGUGAGGAACUCAGGGGUAGCCAUGGCAAGGCAAUUGCUCGGCAAUUGCAGCGCUUCUUCAUCGUCACAACCUUCCUUCCAAUUCUUUCCAAACCCUGGCUUCUUCAAUCCCCACCGCACCAUCUCCGCCGCCCACAGCAGCUCCUUCCACCUCCAAACCCUUCUCCAAUUCCCUCCAUCACUUCCCAAACCCUCACGUUCUCCAACUCCGACCUCUCUGCUCGCCCUCAGCCUACAUUCCAAUUCUUUAUAGACGGGAAGAAGGUGGCUCAAGUUGUUGGUGCUAAUGUUGCUUGCUUGAGAAACACUUUUGGAAGUUUGGGAAAUACGACCUACUAUUGGAAAACAAUAUAGUCAAGUCCUAAGUUCUUGUCUUGAUAACGGACAAAAUGAUUUGAACUUGUGACCUCGUGUAAUAUUAUGAAAGAAAAUUAUUAAAACAAUAAUUUCUGGGUUACUGCAUGUCCUGGGAGCUACAACCGCAACAACUCCGUGGUUGACGUAUUAUUGUAGCACAUCGCAUUGAUUACACCUGUUGAUUGAUUUGGAAGAUGAAAUUGAUAUGAUGGUGUUACAAACG